GGAAGCGGGGCGGCUAUACUGCAGUCGAGCGGAAGAUGGGAGCUUGCUCCCUGAUGUUAGCGGCGGACGGGUGAGUAACACGUGGGUAACCUGCCUGUAAGACUGGGAUAACUCCGGGAAACCGGGGCUAAUACCGGAUGGUUGUCUGAACCGCAUGGUUCAGACAUAAAAGGUGGCUUCGGCUACCACUUACAGAUGGACCCGCGGCGCAUUAGCUAGUUGGUGAGGUAACGGCUCACCAAGGCGACGAUGCGUAGCCGACCUGAGAGGGUGAUCGGCCACACUGGGACUGAGACACGGCCCAGACUCCUACGGGAGGCAGCAGUAGGGAAUCUUCCGCAAUGGACGAAAGUCUGACGGAGCAACGCCGCGUGAGUGAUGAAGGUUUUCGGAUCGUAAAGCUCUGUUGUUAGGGAAGAACAAGUGCCGUUCAAAUAGGGCGGCACCUUGACGGUACCUAACCAGAAAGCCACGGCUAACUACGUGCCAGCAGCCGCGGUAAUACGUAGGUGGCAAGCGUUGUCCGGAAUUAUUGGGCGUAAAGGGCUCGCAGGCGGUUUCUUAAGUCUGAUGUGAAAGCCCCCGGCUCAACCGGGGAGGGUCAUUGGAAACUGGGGAACUUGAGUGCAGAAGAGGAGAGUGGAAUUCCACGUGUAGCGGUGAAAUGCGUAGAGAUGUGGAGGAACACCAGUGGCGAAGGCGACUCUCUGGUCUGUAACUGACGCUGAGGAGCGAAAGCGUGGGGAGCGAACAGGAUUAGAUACCCUGGUAGUCCACGCCGUAAACGAUGAGUGCUAAGUGUUAGGGGGUUUCCGCCCCUUANUGCUGCAGCUAACGCAUUAAGCACUC
rnacentral:rRNA from 1 species